AUGACGUGGACGCGUGUUUUCACGCCCGCCAUUUUCCCGUCAUCAGAUUCUGGCACGCCCGGUAUGGAGGGCCAAGUGCAGCAGUUUGUGACCCUUCGCUUCGGUGACCUUUGGCUUGAUGUGCCAAUUGGUCCUAUUGUGACCUCACUAAGUGAAAGUUGGAAGACUACUGCUGCAUCUCCAGUUGUACCAGAUCAAGAAGAGGUCACUUCUCCACCAAUGGAGGGGUUCACACCUAUUUUGUCAAAGUCUGCAAAGAGGAAAAUGAGGGCUGCUAGAAAGAGG
rnacentral:rRNA from 1 species